rnacentral:rRNA from 1 species
AGUGAACGCUGGCGGUAGGCCUAACACAUGCAAGUCGAACGGCAGCACAGUAAGAGCUUGCUCUUACGGGUGGCGAGUGGCGGACGGGUGAGGAAUACAUCGGAAUCUACUUUUUCGUGGGGGAUAACGUAGGGAAACUUACGCUAAUACCGCAUACGACCUACGGGUGAAAGCAGGGGAUCUUCGGACCUUGCGCGAUUGAAUGAGCCGAUGUCGGAUUAGCUAGUUGGCGGGGUAAAGGCCCACCAAGGCGACGAUCCGUAGCUGGUCUGAGAGGAUGAUCGGCCAAACGGGACCUAGGACACGUCCAGAACUCCAACGGGAGGCAGCGGUGGGAAAUAUUGGCCAAUGGGCGCAAGCCUAAUCCAGCCAUACCGCGUGGGUGAAGAAGGCCUUCGGGUUGUAAAGCCCUUUUGUUGGGAAAGAAAAGCAGCAGGUUAAUACCCCGCUGUUCUGACGGUACCCAAAGAAUAAGCACCGGCUAACUUCGU